CAGUAGCCACGGUAAUACGAAGGGUGCAAGCGUUACUCGGAAUUACUGGGCGUAAAGCGUGCGUAGGUGGUGGUUUAAGUCUGCUGUGAAAUCCCCGGGCUCAACCUGGGAAUGGCAGUGGAUACUGGCUCGCUAGAGUGUGUCAGAGGAUGGUGGAAUUCCCGGUGUAGCGGUGAAAUGCGUAGAGAUCGGGAGGAACAUCAGUGGCGAAGGCGGCCAUCUGGGACAACACUGACGCUGAGGCACGAAAGCGUGGGGAGCAAACGGGAUUAGAUACCCGAGUAGUCCAUGUCUCUUAUAC
rnacentral:rRNA from 1 species